rnacentral:rRNA from 1 species
CCUACGGGUCGCACCAGUGGGGAAUAUUGCACAAUGGGCGCAAGCCUGAUGCAGCCAUGCCGCGUGUAUGAAGAAGGCCUUCGGGUUGUAAAGUACUUUCAGCGGGGAGGAAGGUGUUGAGGUUGAUAACCUCAGCAAUUGACGUUACCCGCAGAAGAAGCACCGGCUAACUCCGUGCCAGCAGCCGCGGUAAUACGGAGGGUGCAAGCGUUAAUCGGAAUUACUGGGCGUAAAGCGCACGCAGGCGGUCUGUCAAGUCGGAUGUGAAAUCCCCGGGCUCAACCUGGGAAUUGCAUUUGAAACUGGCAGGCUAGAGUCUUGUAGAGGGGGGUAGAAUUUCAGGUGUAGCGGUGAAAUGCGUAGAGAUCUGAAGGAAUACCAGUGGCGAAGGCGGCCCCCUGGACAAAGACUGACGCUCAGAUGCGAAAGCGUGGGGAGCAAACAGGAUUAGAUACCCGGGUAGUC